GCACAAGCGGUGGAGCAUGUGGCUUAAUUCGAUGCAACGCGAAGAACCUUACCUGGGCUUGACAUGCAAGGAAAUCUCCCAGAGAUGGGAGGUCCGUAAGGGCCUUGCACAGGUGGUGCAUGGCUGUCGUCAGCUCGUGUCGUGAGAUGUUGGGUUAAGUCCCGCAACGAGCGCAACCCUCGUCCUAUGUUGCCAGCGAGUAAUGUCGGGGACUCAUAGGAGACUGCCGGGGUCAACUCGGAGGAAGGUGGGGAUGACGUCAAGUCAUCAUGCCCCUUAUGUCCAGGGCUGCACACAUGCUACAAUGGCCGGUACAAAGGGCUGCGAUACCGCAAGGUGGAGCGAAUCCCAGAAAGCCGGUCUCAGUUCGGAUUGGGGUCUGCAACUCGACCCCAUGAAGUCGGAGUUGCUAGUAAUCGCAGAUCAGCAACGCUGCGGUGAAUACGUUCCCGGGC
rnacentral:rRNA from 1 species